GGAGGCCCGGCCGGGGCGGGGCGGCGCAGCCAUGUCGGAGGGCACGGCGGGAAUGGCGGCACCCGCGGCGAUGGCGGAGGCGCGGCUGCGGCGGAAGCAGCUGCUGAGCGCGGAGGAGGCGGAGCUGUUCGAACUGGCGCAGGCGGCGGGCAGCGGGCUGGACCCGGAGGUGUUCCGGGUGCUGCUGGACCUGCUGCGCAUGAACGUGGCGCCGCUCGCCGUGUUCCAGGUGCUGAAGUCGAUGUGCGCCGGGCAGCGGCUCCCGCCGGCGGCCGAGAGCAGCCCCGCCGCGCCGGCGCCGAUCCCCGCCGACAGCCGAGCACUUGCUUUAGUGAAGCUGCUGAAAGUGCCUGAGCUACAGCACAGCUGGCAAGGCUGGUUGGCUGACCUGGGAUGGUGACUGCUGGCACAUCACUGCCAUGCUUGACAAGAAGAGAGUUUUUCAAGAGCACCUGACUUGGCUGGGAUAAGUGAAUGGAUUUUUGUGCCACCCAAAUUUAAUGGAUUAAUAAUGGCCACCUGCUCCUACUUGGAAGUUCUUAGGUUGUCUUUCUGGUGCAUCAAGGUGUGAACUGGUAGUUUUGAUGUGAGUCCUGUUCCCAGACAGCUGCUCCAAGGAGACAGGAUGGUCUGGGAGAAAUAAAAGCAGCUCUGCUGUCAGUGGGUCACAGAUUCUGGCCGAAAGAAGCAGCAGGGAAGGAUCUGCCCAGAGGAUGCCCCGACAGCCGAGCGCGAGCCGCGCGCAGAAGGCAGGAACCUCUGGGAAGG